rnacentral:rRNA from 1 species
CGGACGGGUGAGUAACACGUGGAUAACCUACCUAUAAGACUGGGAUAACUUCGGGAAACCGUAGCUAAUACCGGAUAAUAUUUUGAACCGCAUGGUUCAAAAGUGAAAGACGGUCUUGCUGUCACUUAUAGAUGGAUCCGCGCUGCAUUAGCUAGUUGGUAAGGUAACGGCUUACCAAGGCAACGAUGCAUAGCCGACCUGAGAGGGUGAUCGGCCACACUGGAACUGAGACACGGUCCAG